rnacentral:rRNA from 1 species
GACGAACGCUGGCGGCGUGCUUAACACAUGCAAGUCGAACGGAAAGGCCCUGCUUUUGUGGGGUGCUCGAGUGGCGAACGGGUGAGUAACACGUGAGUAACCUGCCCUUGACUUUGGGAUAACUUCAGGAAACUGGGGCUAAUACCGGAUAGGAGCUCCUGCUGCAUGGUGGGGGUUGGAAAGUUUCGGCGGUUGGGGAUGGACUCGCGGCUUAUCAGCUUGUUGGUGGGGUAGUGGCUUACCAAGGCUUUGACGGGUAGCCGGCCUGAGAGGGUGACCGGCCACAUUGGGACUGAGAUACGGCCCAGACUCCUACGGGAGGCAGCAGUGGGGAAUAUUGCACAAUGGGCGGAAGCCCGAUGCAGCAACGCCGCGUGCGGGAUGACGGCCUUCGGGUUGUAAACCGCUUUCGCCUGUGACGAAGCGUGAGUGACGGUAAUGGGUAAAGAAGCACCGGCUAACUACGCG